rnacentral:rRNA from 1 species
AACGAACGCUGGCGGCAGGCCUAAUACAUGCAAGUCGAGCGAGGACUUCGGUCCUAGCGGCGGACGGGUGAGUAACGCGUGGGAACGUGCCCUUUGCUUCGGAAUAGCCCUGGGAAACUGGGAGUAAUACCGGAUGAGCCCUUUGGGGGAAAGAUUUAUCGGCGAAGGAUCGGCCCGCGUUGGAUUAGGUAGUUGGUGGGGUAAUGGCCUACCAAGCCGACGAUCCAUAGCUGGUUUGAGAGGAUGAUCAGCCACACUGGGACUGAGACACGGCCCAGACUCCUACGGGAGGCAGCAGUGGGGAAUCUUAGACAAUGGGGGAAACCCUGAUCUAGCCAUGCCGCGUGAGCGAUGAAGGCCUUAGGGUUGUAAAGCUCUUUCAGCUGGGAAGAUAAUGACGGUACCAGCAGAAGAAGCCCCGGCUAACUCCGUG